rnacentral:lncRNA from 1 species
UUUUUUUUUUUUUUUGCACAUUUACAUGGGUUGAAGGUAAAUUUUGUUAUAUUUACCAUUAGUUUUAAGUUUUGCUAUUUUCUUAAUAAUAAUUUUAACCUUGUUUUGGUGCAUAUGCCAGAACCCCUUAAAUUAAUCUAUUUUUAAAAUAGAUUUUUAUUUAAGUUUGAUCCAAUUUAUUUUUUAAAAUAUAGAAUGACCAUUGCAUUUUUUUAUUGGCCAAUUUCCAUGUCUUUAAUUAAUAUUAAUUUGAGUUCAUCUAAAAUUUUAAUAAGUCUCAAAUUAAUAGGGUGAGAAUUUGUGAUUAAUUGAAAAUUUCUUAGACGACAAAAAAAAAAAAGAUUGGCCAUUUAUUUUAAGUAUAUAAAUGGCGAUGCAAAUUAAUAUAUACACGUUCAAUAAAAAAUAUAAAGAGAGGAAUUUUCAAAAAUAACAAAUUUUACAAAAUAUUUACAACUUAUAGUAAAUUCUAUAACUAAUAGUCAUUGAUAUGCUAUUGUGAUAGAAGACUAUCGUUGAUAUAAUUCAAAAUUUUGUUUUAACUUGUUAAUAUUUUAAUUUAUUUUUAUAUUUUUAGAAAUGCUCCAAAUAUAAAAAGAGAACUAUGUAAAGAAAUGUCACAAAGUUAGAAAUUAUCUUUUAGGAUGCCUCCAAAAUUUUAAGGAUGCUCUUCGUCCGUGCAUUAUAGAAUGUUCGAAAAUCUGUAGUUGUUGCAUUUUUAUUGGAAAAAAUGUAAAGAAGUAUUAAAUUUUUUUAAAAAAAUUGCAUUUGGUUUUGAGUUAAAAAAGAAGAGGAAAUAAGUAUUAAAUUUAAAAAAUGGUUGGUGUUGAAAUAAGUAUUAAAAUAAAUAAAAUAUUAUAUAUAUAAAAAAUAAGAAAAUUUGUCGAUAAUAGAAAAUUUGACAAAAUAUUUACAUUUUUUUAUGGAAAAUAAGGCUUAAUAAAUUUUAGAAUUUUUUUUAGUGAUUUUUUCUUUGGAGUAACUAGUUUGUUUUUAGUUCUAUUUGUAAAAUAACUCUAUAAAAUAAUAUAAAUAAAAAUUAAGAAAAUAAAACAUAAAAAAUCUCACAAACUCCCCAUUCUUCUAUUUAUUUGAAAAAAAUUUCAACUUGUAUCUUACUAAACUCAAUAAAUAUCACUACUUAUAGACAAUUUGACAAACUCGAUUAUAUUGACUACUACGAGUUUGAUAUCUUCAAUACAUAUAAUAAAAAAAUUGUGAAAUAACACAUGGCACAAUAGGACACCAACCAGAAUGAUAAUUGAUAAUGGAAAACAUUUUUUGUUGUCAGAGACACAAAAUCAAAUAUUUCCACUCAAUCAUAUUUUACUAAAUUGUUUUAGAACUAAUAUUUAAAUAAACAUUUUGGAAAUGUGAAAUAUUCAUUUAAUUUUUAUUUAAAAAGCCAGAUUUUGUUUUUGCUUUUCGAAUACAACUAAGAAUUGAACGAUCGUAUUUAAAAAAAUAUGCAAAUUAUUGAAAGUUAAAAAAAACACAAUAACAAAAAAAACAUAUAACAGAUGUACCAAACCGAAACUCUAAUUUUUUAAACAUUAAACAUUAAAAAUCAAAUAGUUAUUAAACGAUACACAAACAUUUAUUUUUAAUAGUACAAAUUAUAAAGGUACAGUGCAUGUGGAAGUGUGUUGUUUUAAUCGUUGAAUUUUCCAAUACCAUAAAAGAGAAACGCAAUGACACUGGCUGAGUUUUAGUCGUUUCCAAUAAAUAUUACUUUCUUGAAAUCUAUUUUUAUCAUUAAAUUUAAAAUUUAUCAAUGUUACAAUACGUGAAAUCCUAUAGGCUUCUCUAAGUAUUCAACGACCAACGAAAAGCUUACACUCACGAGCACGUGACAUUCUACUUUUAACCUUAAGAGAAUAAACAUACCCAACUAAUUACGACUAAGUUAAAUUUAUUUGACAAGAUACAUAUAAUUCGAACCUUGCUACUAAAAGUAUUAACAAGUUUUUUUUUCAAUAUUGCGCGAAUAAAAAUUUGAACAUGUUUAAACAAUAUAUGUAAAUAAUGUUUUAACCUAUUGAACCAUGCUCAAAUGAAAAGGAAGUAUGAGGUUACAACAAAUUUGACCAACUUUUCGUAUAGCAACAAUAUUAAAGACUUGAUUAUAUCAACUUUUCUAAUGUUUAUAAAAACUUUUUUUUACAUCUCUAAAGAACUUUUUCUUUCAAAUGUGGGGUUAGGGCAAUAUAUUUUUAUAAUGUCGUUUGGUGUGGGUGUAGCUUUCAGUCCUUCUAUCAAAUUGGUUUCUUUGUACGCCAACUUUGACUUAACAAGUCAAGAAUAAAACGAAUUUCAAAAGAAAAAAGGACCAAAUUCCACUUUAAUUAAUUACCUCUAUUCCAACAUAUCAUGUAGAAAUUUUCAUACCAUGAAAAAGAUGUAUUAUAAACUUUGGAAGGGGUUAAGAUUUUAAGAAUCCUAUUUUGUGCAGUUUUGUAUUUGGUUUUUUGUACACCUAAUAUAUGCUCUGUAUUUAUUAUAUUAUCUCAUAAGCUUGGUAUGCGUGAGAGUUAGAGGUCCAAGAAUACAUGUGUAACCCUAAAACUAAUUUUUAGUUAAAAGAAACAAAUUAAUCUAUAUAAUUGACAUUAAAAAGUUUAUUAGUGAUAGAUUUUGGUUUUAAGAAUUAUUGAUAGAAAUUUCUGUUUGACUAACUUCAUCCUUUCCUCCCUCAUUUCAAAUCUCUUUUAUUCUCAAUUUUGAUCACUGACUUUUCUUUUCCUUUCGUAACUUGCUUGUAAGUAGAUUUUUAAAAGUUUUCGUCACCUAAAAUAAUAAAAUAGAGAAAAGCAAAUCAAUGUUUAAAAUUUGAGUGAAAUUAAAGGCUAUGACCUUUCAAAGUUUAAACAUAUAUACAAAAUAGUUUUCAUGUUAUAUUAUAAGUAAAAGUCUUAAAACUUUGUUUAAUAUAUAUAAUUAGUUAACAUGUUAGCUUCAUGAAAAACGUAUAAAAAAUGAAGGAUCAUGAAAUAUUUGGUACAACAAGUCUUGCAUGUAACGAAGAUAAUAUUAUUAUUUGCAAUUGCAUGAAGUUUCACGCAAACUAAGAAAAAAGAAGAACGAAGAAACAAACUCUUGCAUGUCUUUUAGUUUUCUUUUUCUAUUUCCUUGUUUUUGAUUUUUCCUAUACCACAAAGAAGAGAAGUGGAUUUAUUAGAUACUUUAGAAUAUCUCAACUCAAAUACAUCUAGUAGUGAUGCAUUCAUUCAAUAAAAAAUAGCUUUGCACGAAACAAAAAGAGGAAUCUAUAAAGCAAAAUAAUUGAAUCUUGUGCUAAAUGUCACCAUGUGUCCGAGACGAUGCAGAGUGACCAACGUUUUCAAAUUAAAUCGUUAGUUUUAAAUCAAAUCUUGGACUACAAAAAAUGUGUUCUCUCCUCAAGAAUUUUAGAAAAUCGGAUUUUCAAAUUUUCUAGAUUCUGUCUUAGAAUUUUGUUAAAGGAAAAUGAUAUAUAAGUUAAUAUAAAAGAUAGGAAACCUUAUGAAAUGAUUGAUUAAAAUUUGAAUGUUUGAAAAGCAUAAAAAAUAUAUAUAUAACAUUAUAGACAAAUUUUCUAAAUUAUUAAAAAGGAGUUUUUAUUUUAAAACAUAGAGAACUUUAAAUUGGUAGGAUUUUAAAACAUUGAAAAUAUUAAUUAAGAAAUAGUUGAAAUUUUUAUAUAAGAAAAAAUAUGAGGCUUAAUAGAAAAAUUAAAUAAGUAAAAAUAAGGAUAAAUAAGCAUCAUAGAAAAUUAUGCAAAUAUAAAAUAACAUAUUGAGAUUUUAAUAAAAACAUAUGAGUGAUCGAUCUAGAACUUUAAAAGAAUCAAUUCCUUCACCUCAAUAAUUCUAGAAAAUCGAACUCUUAAAUUUUUUAUAUUUCGUUUUCGAAAAUAAAUAUGCUCGAAACAAAAAAUUGUAAAACAUAUAACUUAACGAACUUUUAAAUGUCUCAAGAGAAAUUUAACAUGUAAAUAAAUAUUAAAUUGAACAUGAAAGUAGCCAUUAAUGAAAAAUAUUAUGUAAACAACCAAUAUCAUUUAAAGAAGCAUAACCAUACAUUAAUAAACAUUAAAAAAACACAUUAACAUUCUAUAGAAAAAUGAUUGGAAAUCGAACUUCUAAAGAAUCGACUUCUCACCUUAAAAAUUCUAAAAAAUUGAUCUUCCAAAUUUUGGAGAUUAAGAAAAUUAAAUGUUAACAAAUUUAAACAAUUAUUAGCAAUAACAUAUUAAAUUGACCACAAAACAAGAGUGUAAAAUAUAUUAAAUAACAUAUAAAAGAAGAUAAUAUUAAUUAAAGAAGCAAUAAUCAAUGCCAUAAGAAGAAAAAAAUAAUUAAAUAAAUAAAAGUGCUAAUUACAAAAAAAGUAAUGAUACAAUAUAUAGAAAAUAAAGCUUAAGAAUAAAUUAAAAAAAUAAAAAAGAGAUAAACAACGAGAUAGGAAGAAAUAUGUUAUAAUAUAUAUAUAAGAGAAGUUCAAAAGAUAAUAAAUAAAUAAUUAUAAGAGAAAGAAAAGUAGAUAAAUAAGAACAAGAAAAAUAGAUAAAUAUUUAAUCAUUUAGUUUUUGUUUUGCAUUUCUUUAAAUGGAAGCUUGAAGAAAAAUAAAUAAAGUAAUGAGAAUAGUAAGAAUAAUAAAGAAUAAAGAAUAAAGAACUUUGAAGAAAAAUAAACAAAAUAAUAAGAUGAAGAAAAAGAAAAGAAAAGAAAGAAAGGUUGAAAUCCUAACUCACGUUUUAAACUGUGGAUCAUUUCCACCAAAACUCUACCAUAUACCUACAUUUAAAUUAGAGUUAUAUUUUUAGAAAAUUGUAUCAGAUGACAAGAAAAAAUUAAAAAAAUACAUUCUACAGUACCCUACAUUUAACUAAAAAAUAUUUUAAUUUAUUUUUUGUGUUGCAUCUCCCAUGAUCAAAAAAGAAAGAAUUAUCAAUGGCAAAAAAAAAGCUUCUUCAAAUGGCUAGUUUUUUUUAAUUUGAAAAUAAUACUAAUUUUGACCUACAUCUCAAAAUGGCAUGGAGCCUCUAAUAAACAAAACAAAAUUAAAAAGAUACUAUAUUUAGUAUUUUUCCACCUACUUAAUUAGACUAACUAAUUGAUUUAGUUACUCCAACUAAACAAUUAGUUAAAUAAAUUUAUUUUUUACAAAGUUGGUUAAUCACAAAAUUAAAAAUUUUAGCCAAUUUAAAGCAAACAUUAAUCUAGCAAUUCAUCCAACAAAAUUAGGUGACUGAAAUAAUUUUGGUACCCCAUACUCCAUAGAGCUGACAAGAGAGAGUAGUGCUCCUGAUUUCAUUGCUUCUUUUUAUAUUAGAUAGUAGUACAUUGUUCUAUUUUUAAAAAUUAUUUACAACAUAUACCAAAUUCUAUCACUCAUAGUCAUUCAUAUGAUAUAGUGAUAAAAAAAUAUGAUUGGUAGAAUCUUUCGUAAUAUUUUAAUUUAUUUUGUAAUUUUUAAAAAUAUCUCUAUUUAAAUAAUAUUUUGUUUCUUACGUGUUUGAGUUUUCUUUUCCCUUUGUUUUUGGCUUCCUCUCUCUCUUUUCUCAUAUUAAAGUAAUGCUCUUGAUUUGUGUGAGAUUGUUUUUCUCUUCCUUUAUUAUUUUGUUUUUUAUUGUGGGGUUAUUUUCUACUUCUUUCUUUUAACAUUUGGUUUUAAGUCCUAUGGUUGAACUUUGGCAAAUUGGAAAUGGUAGCCUCCAAGCACCGUAAAAAAAACAUUAGAUAUUGCUCUUGCUUUUAAAGCAUUAUAUUUCAAGUAACAACACUUACGAUUUAGACGUGGGUAACAUAAAAGUUUUGAGAGAUUAUUCUUUUGUAAUUGGGUCAGGGAGAGAACUGCUUUAUGUGAUUGUUUAAAUUUAUCUCAAUAGAGACUUCAAAUUCCCCAAAUUUAUUAUAUAAGUGAAACGUAAUAAUUAAUUAAUUAGACACGGCAUUGGAUAGUUUAUAUAAAUAAUUAAUAAUAAAGCAGCCACAUUUCUUUGAUCAGAACCAUAUUAUACGUUGUUCAUUGUAAUACGAUUAACAUAUAUAAUAAUUAAUCUCACGAGCAUAUAUGCAUUUAUUCAUAACUUACAAACACCAACUUCAGAAAAUAAAGCCAUUUUAUUUAAUGUUACACAAUAACAUGUGCUUAAUUGUUAGGCUUAGCUUGAGGCUUUCCAUCAACAAUACCAGCCUCACCAGCAAAGCUGCAGCACCUGAUGCAACGGCCGCGAAAGCAUUCGCAACAACCUCGGUUGCAACCGUGGAGGCAUUCCGCAAGGUUCCGAGAAUGAGCUCCUCCAUAACUGUGGCGCUCCACAUUGUCAACUUCACCAGUUUCCAUCGUAGCUUCUUCUGCAAAGUAAAUCAUUGAUAUAAUCAUUAUAUACUACCACAAAUUUGACCUUUAUUGAUAACUAAAAAUAUUAUCAAUGAAGCAGUGUCAACAAAACUUUUGACAUCAACAAAAAUAAUUUUGUUAUCGGCAAAAAUCAACGUCAAAUACAAAUAGUUUCUGUUGAUGUUUAUUGUCCAUCAACUAAUUAAAAAACCUACAUUGAUUUUAAGCUGUAAUUAAAAAUUUCAUUGGCGGUUUGUUUGUCAUAAACCUCAACUAAAUAAAAAAAUUAUUUGUCAUAAGCCCAAGCUGUGGUAUAGUACAUAACACUAAUUGAAGGAAUUAAAAGUAGCGAGUAUACAUCGCAUUGCAGGUUUAAAAAAUGAAACUCACUCAAUUUCGCAUCCCUUGCUGUAACAGUUAUCGCCUCCGAGGAAAAGAGGACGACGGCAAAAAGAAGACCGAGCAAGAUGAAGGACUUGGAACUCAUUCUCUCUCUAUUGAUUAGAGAUAUGAUCAAUUUAAUUUGGAGGUGAUGGGGUGAGAAAGUAUUGUAGGAUUGCAAUUGUAUUUAUAGUAGUGAUGACAUAAAAUUCAUGUCAAGGUGGGACAUCCUUAGUCCCAAUUUUCAAAGGUAGAUAAGUUUUUGUGGAAUAAUUAUAAUGAGCUUAUCUUUAUAAGAAAAGUAGAACAAAGGUUUCUUACCGUGGAGUCUGUUCAAUGGACAGGCACGUCAAAGUAAUAGACUCAGAUUAGAUAAUGUUAAAAAUGUUAAUUGUACAAUUUAACAUUGUUGGGUUCCAUCAACUUUAGUUAUUUCUUUAGGUUAUACAUUCGUAGAAAUCUUUUUGUAUUAAAAUAACAUCAUUUAAUCACAGUUUGGAGGGGCUAAAAAAUAAGUAUAUCAACGGUAGACUCCUGUUCACUAAUAUAUGUACCUGAUCUAUAUUCUCAAGUGUCUAAUAUAUGUACCUGAUCUAUAUUCUCAAGUGUUUUUUAUAUAUAUAUCUAGUUUUUGUAAAUAUUUUUGUUUAUUUUGUUAUAUAUUUGAAAAUGUUAAGCGGAUUUCUUCACCUAUUUUUAGAUAAAAGAAUUUAUUGAAUCACACGCCAAGAUCUAGUCUUAAAACAAUUUAGUUAAAAAUUUCUGAAAUAAAUAAAUAAACGAACGAAAAUAAGAAGUUAAAAGAAAGUUAGGAAAUGAACAACCAAGUAAUAUAAACAUAUAGCGAUCAGGACAGAGAAUAUUUAUUCUAAUAUUACAAAACGGUGUCAUUAGGUUCGAAAGAUGUGUUUUUCAAUCUAAAACAAAAUGGUUAGAAAUUUCAAGUCUUCUUUCUGUGUUAAGGGCAAAUUAAAGAGAAAAAUAAUCUUUGAUCAUAUUAACAAAUAAUUGAAAGAAUAAUGUAUAGUACAUAUGCAUGAUCCAUUAUGUUGCAUGCAUUUCUUAAAUGAAUAAAUAGAAUUUUGAAAUGUAAAAAAAUGAUGAGAGAUCAGACAAAGAUAUAUCCAACUCUUCAAAAAAUGGUUUUGUUUUUGGAACUUCUGUUCUAUAGUUGGGAAAAAGAUCAGUCCGUGGAUGGAGAAUUAACAGGAGCAGCUUCAACACACGCACGAGGAUUUUGCUUUCCAGUAAUGAUGGGAAUCACAUUUCUACACUGAGACGUAAUCCGUCCUUGAGUUCCGAUGUAAGCGAGGUCAAUAUCUGUAACUUCCACACCUUCACACGAAAAGACUGUGCUACAAAUAAAUUUAACAGCAACGAAAGUAGCAGAAGUGCCUCUGAUAUUCUUGAAACUAACGUUGUUGAUCUUAAUUUUUGAUGGAAUCUGAACAAAUGUAUACAUAAAGAAAACCAAAAAUUAAAUCAGGUUAGUUUUGCAUUUGUUAUAUAUAAGAAAAAAUAUUCCUUAAUUGAAGUUAAUUAAUUAAUUAGUUGAAAUUUAUGAAUAAGGAAUAAUUUCAAUACAUAUACCUUUUUGUUGCAUUGAUUAGAUGGACAAUAUUCUUGGUCAAUAAUCACAGGAUUGCUAACAUUAACCAUUUCAAUAUCUUCAAAAUGCAAGUCAGAGGCUGUGUAUGCAACUGCACAAUCUGGCCAUGUCUUGAUUCUAACACCAUUUGAAGUAUUGAUAAGUUUACAUGAUUUCACUGUAACUCCUGCCACCUCUUUCUCCUUGGUGUACUUGCCUAAACUUCCUAUACUUAUGCCAUGACCUGGUCCGCAAGUUACAUUAGUAAUAGUUAUUUGCUUGUUGCUGUCUCCAACAGAUAUACAAUCAUCUCCGGUUGAGAUACGUGUAUUGAAAAUGUUAAUCACUUCUGAACUGCUCACAUGAAUUCCAUCGGUGUUGGGACUAUUCUCUGGUGCAAUAAUUGUCACAUUUUGAAAAGUAACAUUCUUGCAACCCAAAAGAUUGAAGUGAAAAUUCUUACUAUCCAACGAAGUUAUGUCCUUCACCAUUGAAUUGGUUACGAAACUGAACUUCACAUUCUUACAAAUUUAACCCCGGCCCGCCCCACAAAAAGAAAAGGUAUCCGAGUUAAAAACAAUGCAUUAUGUUAAUCGACAAAAUUAUAUAAUCAACGAGAUUAAAAAGAAAGAAGCUAAUACAAUUAGAGAAUUAAUUUACCAUAGGAAGUUUAGUGCAUAUUUUCUUCAGGUGACAAUCAUUCUUUUCCCAACCUUUUUCUCCUUGACCAUCAAAAGCACCUGUGCCUGACAAUGUCAAUUGAUCGAUAUAUUGAAAAAGAACCAACCCAUCUCCUAUUGGAUCUGGAUGAGCUUGUAAUGUUCCUUCCAUCCGAACCUCAAUAGUACUUUUGCAAGGACCAUGGAGAAUGGAUUGGUUUAGAUGGUAAACUCCCAUUGGAAUCAACAAUUUACUAGAAUAGGUCGAUGCACAUGCAUCCUUCCAUGCAUUUGCCAAAGCCUAUAAAUUGUGAAUCAUUUGAUUAAACAAAAAAAAAAAUACAUAAAGUACGAAAUUUAUCAAGUUAAUAUAUAUUUACCUGAGUAAUAUCAGUAUUAGGUUUGGCACCAUAUGUAGUGAUAUCAAAAAUGGAUUGACCUUUUGCAGUUGAUGCCAACAUUAACAACAAAUGUAAUAGUAAUGUCAUAAUGUUUGACCUCAAUCCCAUCAUUUUUAUUUAUUGCCUUCUGCUUUUUGCUUAUGAUCUUCUCUUUAUUCUAAUUGUUAAUUAACUAUGAAAAUGGAAUGAAUGAUUCAAAUAUAUGUGCAGUCAUUCAACCCUUCUUUAUACUUUCCAAAAAAAUUUGGUUGCUAAAUUUGAAAAUGAUCGUUGAAAUAUUGAAGUUAAACCAUUAGCUGUGUGUCAUAAAAUUAGCCAUUUCAUGACAAUUGGAAUUUAUUAAUCAUUCCCUCAAUUCAAUCAAAUUUCUGUUCGAGAACAACUCAAAAAAGGAAGAAUUGAGAAUUUUGGUGAAAAAAGUAUUAGAAAUUUUCACUUUAUUUUUCUCAUUCAUAACUCCUAAUAAGUAGAUAGGUCCACAUGUUUCAUGUUACGUAGAUAUAUUUAUUUCAAUGCUUAUUAAAUUUUGAUGGUGAAAUUCAAACUUUUAAUUAAAUUAAUCAUUCAGUUAUAUUUAUUUACUAUAAAUUGAGUGCGAGGAUUUGAACUAAGUUUUCUUAGUUCUCAAAUAUUUAUGAGUGUUAAUAUUCAUAAGUGUGGAUUGAGGUAAGCAUAUGCUAAAUGAAGUUUAAAAUAUUACUUUUCUGUACAUGUGGUAAUAAAAUAAUAAUAAAAUAUCACCAAAAGUAAAUAAAUAUCUAAUCGAGAUCGAUAUAUUAUUGAUACUUUUAUUGACAUACUCAUAAGAUUGAGAAAUACCAGCAUCUUCAUUUACAUUGACAUCUAUGUGACUAGUCAAUUUUAACAAGAACUUUUAAAAUAUAAACAAAAUUAUAUCAUAAAACUAAAUGAAAAAAUUUUGUUUUAAAUGACAAAAUGGUUAAAUAUAUAAUAUUUAUAAAUAUAGCAAAAUUUUACUUUUAAUUUAUGAUAAGUAGAUGUAAACGUAGAUGGUAGACAUCUCUCUAUUGCUGUAGUCUCUAUUGCAUUUCUAUUAAAGUUAUGGAAAUAAAACCGUAAUUACACUAAAUCAAAAUAUGAUGGUAGAUAUUAUAAAAAUCUGAUAAAAAGCAGAUCUUUGCAAUAACAUACUAAAACCCAAACAUGGGGAAAAGAAAAACUACAGAAGCCACUCCUUCCAUUCCCCAUGAAUUUAUUUCUCAAACUUCCACACUUCACACAUUUCAUCAAACACAAACUUUUUACUUUUUUUAUUAUUUCAUCCCAUAUUCCACACCUUGUCUUAUGGUUUUGCACCCUCUACUACUUCACCAGCGUACCUGCAGCACCUGUACACGCAUGGACCAUAUGUGCAACCUCUGCCGUAGCCACCACUAUAGCCACCAAGACCGAAGUCAUCACGACCAUAGCCACCACGAUGCUAACCACCACCACCGCUGUAGAUUUUGUCGUUCCGUCCUCCAUACUUAGCAUCCUCUACGCCAUUGGUUUCCACUGUGGCCUCUGCAAUGAAGGCGAGAAGAAGGCCGAGGAAAACAAAGGCUUUUGAACUCAUGUUUGUGUUUAAUAAGAGAUUGCUUUUGGGAGAUAUGGAUGAGAAAGAUUUGAAUUCUUAUGGUAUUUAUUGGUACAUAAAAGAGAAAGGGAGAUGAGAAUAUUGAGACAAUUGCAAUUAAAGACUGGCCCGUAAUUUAGUUGGGCAUUAGAUGAACUGAUUGAGAAGUAUUCUGAAAUGAAGAAGGAAAUUAAAAUUUGAGUCAGCUCUCUUAAAUAAUCUUUAUCGUUUAAAUGAUUUGUAAUUAGUCAAACUCUUUAGUAGUGUGACUGUAUCAAACUCCAAGAGCUUCUUUUAGCCAAUUAUCAAUAAUAAUAAUAAAUAUAAUUCUGGAAAAACAAUUUCUAGCAUGCUUUCAUUUUCUAUUCCUAAACUUGGUAAACAAAAUUCUUUGUCUUAAAAAUUAAAACUAAUAUUUUCAUAAAUUAUUUAGCAAAGUUGUUGGAAUAUGGACUGGUUUAUGAUUGUACCAAACAGCAAAAACAAGUUACAAACUACGAACCCAACUAUAUCGUUUAGAAACUGAGAGACCCACGUGGCGGAUGUUGCCUCACCCAAAAGCCACCGGAAAUUGCCUUCACUGGAGACCCACAUGUCGAACAACCAACUGCAAACCCCAAGAACAACCACGGCUGAAACAACCUCUCUGAUGGCUCGAACCCACUGCUAAACCAGCCGCCACACCGCGCGAAAUCCGCCGGUAGAACAUGGAAACUCGCCGACGUUAAAGCUCAGUCAGACGCCGUACUGCCCGAAAAACGAGACCGAAACGCGGAUGCUAAAGCUCUCUCCUCACCGGAAAACGCCCGACCCGACGAAGAACCUCAGAAUCUCCGUCGCGUGGCCGUCCGGUAAACGCCAUCAACGUCAACCCGUUCACCGUCGGCCCCUGCUCUUCUCUCUACUGUGUUUGUAGAAGAAACUUCAACUUUCCUCUCUCUCUAUUCUUGUGUAUUGCGGCAACCCCUCACCUCUCUCCUUUUCUUUUCACUGUAUUAAAAAUGGCAAGUGAUGUGAAUAAUUGCAAAAAUGUGUUCUUGUUAUUCCGCCAUCAACAAAACUAAAAAAACUUUGUUUAUUAAGAAAAUAAAUAAUCCACGUUGUUUAUUUCUUACAUUCUUUCAUAUUUCUUUAAUAAAAUAAGAGAACUUUUCUUUAUGUAUCACGGUGAAGAUAGAUAUUGUAUUAAGAAAAAUAUAUUUCUUAAUGAUCAUUUAUCAUGACCAUCAAGAAAUUAAAAAAUUGUGUUCCAAACCCUACAUCUCUCUUAAUGCAUCCUCUUUCACAAAUACUUCCGUUCCAAAAUAAUUACAGUCUGAGAAAAGUUUAGAGAGUAAAAACAAUUUCUCUCUCAAACAUUAAACCAAUAUAUAUAAAUGAUCCAUACAUAUAUAUAUGUGGAAAGUUCAAUAUGAAAUAUGUUAACAGUAUUGGUAAAAAUACUAUAUAUGGAUGGUCGUAAAAGAAAUACGUACUUUUUAAAAGUUGAACUUCCUCUUCAUCUCUGAUUGGAGAUAUUUGUUGAAAACUCCAAUAACACCUCAAAAUAAUAAUAGUAAUAAUUAUUACUAUUAUUAUUAUUACUAUUAUUGCGUAGGAUAGAACACCAUGAAAUGUUGAUAAAUUUAUUUAAUUGUGUCCUUGUCACUUGUCAGUACCACCAUAAACUUUAGAUAAUGCAGGCUGAGCAAACAUUUUUUUACUUUCUUUUCUCAUUUGUAUGCAAAAUAUAUUGCCACCAUAUAUCGUUUUGACUAAAGACGAAAGAAAGCGUGUAUACCUUAACUAUUAAAAUUUAUGUUCAAGUUAUGGAAAUAAAACCCUUAAUUACACAAAAUGAAAAUAUGUUUGUUGAUAUUAUAAAAUUUUACAAAAACCAAAUCUUUGCAAUAACAUACUAAAACCCAAACAUGGGGAAAAAGAAAAACUACAGAACCCACUCCUUCCAUUCCCCAUCUAUUUAUUUCUCAAACUUCUACCGUUCACACAUUUAACCAAACACACAAACUUUAAACCUUUUUAUUAUUUCAUCCCAUUCUACACCUUCUCUUAGGGUUUUGCACCCUCUACCACUUCACCAGCGUAGCUGCAGCACUUGUGCCCACAUCGACCAUAUCGGCAACCUCUGCCGUAGCCACCACGGCCACCACCAUAGCCUCCACGGCCACCGUAAUGACCACGACCAUACCCACCACGACCACCGCCAUAGCCUCUGUCGUACCCACCGCCAUAGCCUCUGUCGUACCCUCCACCAUAGCCUCUGUCGUACCCUCCACCAUAGCCUCUGUCGUACCCACCUCUUCCAUACUUGGCAUCCUCUACGCCAUUGGUUUCCACUGUGACCUCUGCAAUGUUAUAUUUAAAAUUAAUCCUUAACUUUACGAAAAUGUUAUAUAAAAUCAAAAUCUGUAUAUAAAGAUGUUAAAUAAUGAGUAUAUAUAUUUUACAUGAGUUUUUUCUUAAUAUUCGUGUCUGUUCGGAGUUAGUUUAUGUGUACCUAAACUAAGUUUACCGAACAAAUUUGGAUGUGAAAGGAACAAGCACAAAGAAUAUUAAAUCAUCAAUAGAAGACUACUAUGCAUUCAACUUCUUAGAUGACUUAAAAUUUAUUAUAACAUAAAACUCACCGUUGUCAGUCUUGGAGGAGGUCUCCGCAAGGUCCCUUGCAGCCACUUCAGAGGAGAGGAGAAGAACGAAGGCGAGAAGAAGGCCAAGGAAAACAAAGGCUUUGGAACUCAUAUUUGUGUGUAUUGUAAGAGAUUGGUUUUGGGGGAGAGGGAUGAGAAAGAUUUGCAUUCUUAUGGAGGUAUUUAUAGGUCCAUAAAAGGGAAAGUGAGAUGAGAAUUGAGACAAUGGCAAUGGCAAUUAAAGACUGGCCCAUAAUUUGGUUGGGUGUUAGAUGAACUGAUUGAGAAGUAUUUUGAAAUGAAGAAGAAAAUUUGAGUCAGCUCUCUUCAAAAAUCUUUAUCUUUUAAAUGAUUUGUAAUCAGUCAAACUCUUUAGUAGUGUGACUGUAUCAAACUCCAAGAGCUUCUUCUAUCCAAUUAUCAAUAAUAAUAAUAUAAUUAUGGAAAAACAAUUUGUAGCAUGCUUUCAUUUUCUAUUUCCUAAACUUGGUAAACAAAGUUAUUUGUCUUAAAAAUUAAAACUAAUAUUUUUCAUAAAUUACUUACCAAAAUCUAUCAAGUAAAUACUGUAGGUUAGUUAUUUAGGGUUCAUUUUUUUCACCUUGUGUUUUUUCUUAAAAAAAUUGAUGUUUAAUUAGAUUUUUUUUUCUAUUAAUGAUUGAUUUGUUUUGGUAUAUCAUUUUCGAUCCAAUAUAACAAAAUGAACAAAAUAUGUGACAUUUUUUAAAAUAAAAAAUAAAUUAAAAUAUUUACAAAGUAUAACAAAAUUUUAAAUUCUAUCAAUGAUAGAAACUGAUAUGCUACUAUCACUGUCUAUCCAUCUCACUAAUAGAAACAUGUUAAUGUCUAUCAAUGUCUAUUAUUGAUAAAAUAUGAAAAUCGUACUAUUUGUUGUAAAUAUUUUGUCAAAUUUACUAUUUUUUACCAUUCUCUCUUAAAAAAAUAUUUAUAAAUACAGUAAAUUUCAAAAUCUAUCAAAGAAAUUGGUAGAAAUAUUUAUAUAGUAUAUGUGAUAUAAAUAAACACUAAUAUGAUUGAAGUUUUUUGUGUCUACUAAUAUCUAUAUUUUUUAUAUUUCUAAAUUUGGCUAUAUUUAUAAAUAUUUUCAAGAAUUUUAGUUUAUACAUUUUCAAAUGGUUUAUCUUAUAUAAAAUUUGAAUAGACAAACAUAAAAUAAAGCACAGCACAAUAAAGAAAACGUUAUUGAAUAGCUUCCACUGAACCCAAUUUGCAAAUAUCAUUGAUAUUUGUAAUAUUCUUUUAAUGCUAUGUUUUCUUACAAGAUAACGAGAGGAUAUUUUUAUAUUUAUGUGAAACUCAUCAACUUAUAUGAAAAUGUCAAAACAACAUUUAUUUAUUUCAUACUCUUCAACUUGGUGUCUGUCAUUCUUUAAAUAGAAUUUUCAAAGCUCAUAAAAAUCUCUCGAAAUUUGAGAAGAUAUCAACGCCCUUACGGAUCAUUGGACAAGCAUAUCUCCUCUCUUCAAAAAUUAUUUUGAUAGCUCUAUUGCUCUAAGUAUUUAUGCUUUUGUUUAAUUGUACUGACUUUGGGUCUUUCUUGGACUUUCCUCUAACCCUUGCUUUUGUUUUCCCUUCUUUCCAUAUUAUCUAUUAUAUAUUAAUGAAGCAUGAAUGAUGAUGAUGCUACGAAGGUACUGUUCACAUAGUGGAGAUGAUGAGAUGUCUUAGUGCAUCUAUUGACCUAUCUCGUAUCUUUUUUAAAAAAAAAAAAACAUUUAUAUAUUUCGUAUACUAUAAUUUUGCAAUAAAUUUAAGAGACCUUUAUAAAACUAACUCCCAAACUAUGCGGGGUAGUGAUAGUUGUGAAACCUAUUUCUAAUUUGAGUAUAGAAAGUAAAAUUUGGUUAAGUAUUUUGAAAAUUUGUAUUUUGGAUAAGAGGAGACAUUUUGAAAUAAGACUUUGCGAUAAGAAGUAUGUGUUUGAAUCAAUCCACAGAAAUGAUUAAGUGAUAAAAUCUUUUAUGGUUAAGUAUAAGUUUUGUUAUUAAGAAGUUAAUUCACGAGGGAGUUUUGAGAAAAGAAUGAUUUGCAAUAGGACCUAUAAACACUUUCAAUAGAAAGAGUCUUCACGAGAAAAUGUUGAAGUUAUUCGUAGAAUGGAAAUAGGCGAGAAGUAAGGUCUGGCAAAGAAAACGUCUAUCUGAUUUGACAGGGGUUAAUGUGUAAGAUUAAAGGUUUAAGCAUGACUGAGUUAAAUAUUAAAUUUACAUGUGUAAAGUUUUAAUCAGGAACCAGCGAACUUAAAAGAGUUUAAGCAUGACUAAGUUAGUUUAAGAGCUAUGUAAAUAAAGGACCUAGUCAUUAAGUAAGCACAUAGAUUUUAUUAAAAAAAAAUUACUAAAAUGUUGUUGUUUUGCUUGACGAGAAAAAGAAAAAAAAAAACAAAGUGUUAAGUGCUACGAUGUGUUUCACAAGAAGGCUCCACAAAAGAAAAGGAAGAGAAGGAUUUUUGAUAAAGUGUGGGAAUGUUUUCUCUUAAAUGAAUUAAUUAUGUUAAAAAAUUUAUUAUAAUUUCUCUUUACUUAUUUAAAAGAAGAAUUCCAAUGAUAAGUGUUUCAAAUGAAAUUUAUAUCAAAAGUCUAUAUGUUUUCAAGUAUGAUUUAUAAUGUUAAAGUUGUUUUCUUGAGAUGAUGCUAACUUUUAUGUGCACAUAAAGAGUCAAGGUUACUAUGGGGUGUACAAGGCUACAUGGUGAUAAGAAGCUGGUUUAUGCUUUGAAAUGAGCGUAUAAAGCUUAGUUGGCCUGAGCAACAAGGACAAUCUGUAUGUUUUCGGAUGUUGUUGAUACAACAGUCUAAAUGUAGGGUAAUGAGACCAAACGUAGAAAACGAUUCGAGAUCCUUGAUGAAAAGUAUAAUUGACUAAUGGGUGUUAUUGUGAAAUGAAUCUUGAUGUGAUUCACAAGUUGAACUAAUUUUAUUGUAAAAAUGAUUAUAUACGUUUUGAUAUGUUUUGCCAAAUGAAGUGUUUAUUGAUAAACUGAUUUGUGUUGAAAUUUAUGAUUUGACGAAAAACAUUUUCAAAGAGCAUUGCAAAAAGGAUUUCAUUAAAACCUCACUAAAUCUUUUAAACUUGCAUUUUAAAUUUUAUCUUCCAAGAUUUAGCAUUUAGGCCAAUUAAAGAAGAAGGUUGAAGGGCUUGCGGCAAGUUGAGAAAGCCACGAGGCGUUAAAGAGCUUUGAUCGAUAAAUGUUAAUUAUUUGAUCAAAAUGUUGUAAUUGUUUGUUCAUACCAAACGCCUGUUAUUAAUAUAUUAAAGUGUGUGUUUCAGGUUAUGUUACUUAUUGUACUUGGCAUUUAAAGUUGAUUUUCGCUACGUUUUGAGUUUCACUUCAUAGUUUGAAAGGAGUUGAGAAUAAGCUAGGCAGUAAGACUAAUUGUAAAGUUUAAUUAAAGUUAAAUCUUGUAAAGUUUAAAGUUAAAUCAUGUAAAGUUUAAAGUUAAAUCACGUCCUAUCCGCACAACUUCCUGCAAUUUUGUUGUCGGAACAGAGUGUGACAAUAGCGAUGCACCUAAACUAAAUUUACUAUUUUGGUUGUUACAGUGGUCGAUAUGAAUAUAGAUCAAUGGAAAGAAGAAUAUCAACAUCCUCUCUAAAACUUAAAUAUAUUAAUCUAAAAUUUUCAUUUUUAUGUUAAAUUGAGAAGAAGAAGAAAAAAAAAAGAAACGAAAGCAAAAGUAUUAGGUAAUAAAAAUAUUUUGAAGAUGAAAAAAAUUUGAAGUACUCUUGAAAGCAUGAAUAAAUAAAAUUUGGUUCCACUUGUAUUGUUGAAUAUCCUCUUGUUCCUUUCCAACCAAAUGUUCCAGAUAACCCCAUCAACAGACUGUAAUUGUUGAUUUCAUAACACACAAACUUGAAAUCAACAAUUAAGUAAUAGAAGACCGUAAAGAUCGACACACAGAUAAAACAUGGUUCACUAACAGUGUAUUAGCAACUACAUCCACAAACAAAGGAAGAAAAAAUAUGGUUAGGAGAGAGUGUUUUCUAAUACAAAUGUAGCUGGAUAGAGUGCAUCCAAUGAAAUUCUCAUUGUUUUGGUUGCAGACCGAGCACGCCAACUUGGAUUAAGGCAGUGAUUUGGGAGGCUAUUUAGCAGAAUAAUCUCCACAGUGUUUCCCGGGUAGAAUUUAGCAUAAGAAAAAAUUUCACUUCUUAAUUAGAAUGGGAGAUUUUUACAAAUUAUUAAAGAUUGUCAGGACUAAGAUUUUCUAUCUUUGGAAGAUCAUUUCCUCUUUCCUCGUUAGGCUUAGGGAAAGAUGCUUUGACAUUAUCCCAUAUGCUAAUGUCCCUAUCCCGGAGGGGUCCUCUAGGCUUAAUAUCCCAACCAAUCUUUAAUCGAGCUAUUUGCGCCAAGGGAUGAAGCAAAAAGCUUGGGGAAGCCAAAGGAGAGAGGACCGUGUUGGUUCAAUUUUUUAUGCCAAAAAAGAAAGAGAAAGAAGAGAGCAAGAUGAUUAUACUAAAAAAGAAUUGCCACAGUUUCUAUUUUAAUUAUUAUCCCUGCAUAACUCUUUCACAUAUAUAUUUAUAUCCAUAGGUUGUACACAAGUGAAACUAUCCUCAAAUUUAUAUGCUAUUUAUAUAAUAUAUAUAUAUAAAACUAUAAUAGUAUACUAUAGUCAUGUAGUUCAAACUUCGUUUAUUACCUUUUUAUUUUAAAAAUAUUUUAUUAAUAGUAAAGUUCCUGUGAACAUAAAUUUCUCCAUCAUCUGCUCCUACUUGUAUAUAUCAUCUUUAAUUAAUUAUCAUUUAGUGUCCACAUGUACAGUUUAAUUCCCAAAUAGUGUUCAACAAAACGAAGUAUUAGAAAUUUUCACUUUAUUUUUCUCAUUCAUAACUCCUAAUAAGUAGAUAGGUCCACAUGUUUCAUGUUACAUCUAUUUAUUUUAAUGCGUAUUAAUUUUUGGUGGUGAAAUUCAAACUUUUAAUUAAAUUAAUUAUCUCAGUCAUGUUUAUUUACUAUAAAUAUCACUAUAAAGAUCAAUUGAGCUAAGCAUGCUUAAUAAAGUUUAAAAAAUUACUCUUCUAUACACGUGUGGCAAUAAAGAUAACAAAAUAUCACUAAAUGUAAAUAAAUGUUUGGCAAGUUUUAUUAUUUUUAUAACUUCUUUAGAAAUAUUCAAUCGAUAUGGAUAUGAUAUUGAUUUUUGUUUUAUAAAUUCGUGAAAUUGAGAAAUAUAAGCAUUUUCAUCAACAUUCGCAUCCUAGACAUUACUCCUAUAUGACUAAUGAAUUUGAACUAGCGAAACUAAUUCAUAAAACUAAAUGAACAAAUUUUAAAAAAUUUUAUUUAAAAUAACAAAUAUGAUAGAACGUAUAAUAUUUACAAAUGUAACGACAAAAUUUUACUUUCAGAUCGUGAAGGUUGUGGUAAACCUGAUAGACAUCAUAUAUUAUUUUAGGCGUUAUAUUGUAUUGAUAAUAAAAGUAAAAUUUUAUUCUAUUUAUAAAUAUUUAUAAUAAUUUUUUAUAUUCAAAACAAUUCAAAAAAUUAAGUUGGCCUAAAAUUUCUAUUUUCAAUAUUUAUGGCCAUAACAGUUAUUUAAGUGAUCGGACUCCAUGAGUUCGUAAAAUUUAAAUGAGUUAGGCAAACAAGUAUUAAUUUGUAAUUUAUUUCUUUUUCUUAAUUGCAUUUUCUUGUUUUUGACAUGUUUAUUUAUUUUUAAUCUAAGUUGAAUGAUAUGGUAUUAAAUUUGUCUUUCAUCCGUUAAUUUUUCUUCUUUUCUUAACAUACCUUCCAGUUAUUGUCGCUCCAAUCAUCCUCAUCUUUGUCUCCGUCCCUAGGCCCAGGCAUCUCCCUCAAUGCAUCCUCUAUCACAAAUAGGUUCCAAAAUAAUUACAGUCUAAGAAAAGUUCAUAGAGUAACAACAAUUUCUCUCUCAAACAUUAAACCAAUAUAUAUAUAUAUAUAUAUAUACUAGAAAGAACACGUGUUUUGUACGUGAAAAGUGUAAUUUUAAAUCUUAAAUUUAAUUUUAGUGUCACAAGUUAAAAACUAAUUAUAAACAAUAUCUUUAGUUUAUAUAUAUAUAUAUGCUAUUAUUAAAUUCAAAUCUACCAAUAAUAAGGUGACCAGAUUGGACAAUUAGAUCUUAACCAGAGAAUAUAAAGGACCUAUAUAACAAUAUAAGUUUAUGAAAUAUACAACUAUAUAACUACAAAAUAUUAUAUAAACAAGGAGAGAAAAUUAGUGAGCAACCAUAAUAUAACAUGUACUUUUUUUUCAUUGAAAAUAAAUUAAAAAAUAAGAAAAUAAAAAGAGAUCAAAUGAUGGAUAAAGAAGUCUCUCCAAUCCAAAAUAUAAUGCUAAAAGACGACCAAAAUUUAAUUAAUAGAUUAUAGAUACAUAAAUGAAAUAAAAUUAUAGUGCAUAGUAAGUAUUGUAGAAAUAUUGCUUAUUCGAGACAUAGUUGACAUCGUUGGAGGCCUCCUUGGAUUCUCUAUACAUUUGUUGAAAAACACAGAAAUUCUCCUUGUUUUACACCAAAUAAUUAUUCUCCUAUACGUGGAUUUAUUUGAUUGCUCACAAUUUCAUUAGAUUUUAUUUUAUAUAAAAAUACACAGAAAGAAAAUGAUUGGGAACGUGAACAUGAGUCACAAAGAAGAUGAGAGAGAAUGUGUGAGUGAUAGAAGGGAAGAAGAAAAUUUUAUAUAGCUUUAAAAUUGAGCUAAUGAAUAAUAAUAAUAAUAAUAAUAAUAAUAACAACAACGACAAUUAUUAUUACUAUUAUUGCAUAGAAUAGGAGAGACCAUGAAAUAUAGAUAAAUUUAUUUAGUUGUGGUUGCCAUUUUGAGUACCACCGUAAACUUUGGAUAUUGCAGGCAAGGUGGUUAAUAGAAUUAAGAUUUUAUUAUAUGUAGGUAAAUAUUUUCACCGAUUUUAAUAUUUAGAUGUUUUCUUUUAUUAUUAUUAUUAUUUAGUAUGAGUGAUCAUGUGAGUUUUUUUCUUUCUUUCUUUUUUCUAACGAAAUAUAUUGAAGAUUUUAACUAAAGAUGAAAGAAUGUGUGUAUACUAAAAAUAAGUGAGACGAUCAAUAAUAUCUGAAAGUAAUUAACUGAGAGAAUAGCUAAAGAAACAGACAAAACAAAUAAUACAGAAGACUUUGUUAGCCUAAUUUGACGAAUACCACCUAUAUCUGGAAGCUUCUUAGCUCAUAUAAGAAAUAUUAUUAUAUAAGAUUUAAAUGAGCAAGGAAAACACUUUUAAGUUAUUACAAAAACUUAAUUAAAGACCGACUUUCAUUGAAUUUGUGUUUGAAUCUUUUUGAAGAUAAACUCAAACUCCCUUGAAUUCAUUCACCACAGUUCAACUAUUUCAGUCUUCUUUCAUAUUUCUUAUCAACAGGUGCAGCGUAAAAACCACUUGCAGAACUUCAAUAAUAUUCCAUCUUCAUAUAAAGAAUGCAAUUCGACAACCUUCACAAACAAUAAUUUGAUCUUCGAAAGAGAACUUCUUUGAAAUCAAUUUUCUAUCAAUUUGCACGUCGAACUAAGCCAAUAUAGUUUAAUUAUUUAAAGAUCGAUAUAAUAUAUUUCCGGUAACUUCUUUAUGGAGAGAUAUAGAUAAAAGAUUCAUGUUAGGAAAGAAAAAUAUUUUAUCUUUAAAUAAUAUCCUAAUCUUUAAAUAAGGAAGUUAAUAAUAAAAAGAAAUUUAUUGGUGUUGUUGACAAAAAUAUCAACAUAUACGUUAACUAUUAAAAUUUAUGUUCAAGUUAUGGAAAUAAAAGCGUUAAUUACAGGAAAUGAAAAUAUGUUUGGUGAUAUUAUAAAAUUAAAAUUUGCAAAAGCAAAUGUUUGAAAUAACAUACUAAAACAAACCCAAACAUGGGGAAAAGAAAAACUACAGAACCCACUCCUUCCAUUCCCCAUCUAUUUAUUUCUCAAACUUCUACCGUUCACACAUUUAACCAAACACACAAACUUUAAACCUUUUUAUUAUUUCAUCCCAUUCUACACCUUCUCUUAGGGUUUUGCACCCUCUACCACUUCACCAGCGUAGCUGCAGCACUUGUGCCCACAUCGACCAUAUCGGCAACCUCUGCCGUAGCCACCACGGCCACCACCAUAGCCUCCACGGCCACCGUAAUGACCACGACCAUACCCACCACGACCACCGCCAUAGCCUCUGUCGUGCCCUCCGCCAUAGCCUCUGUCAUACCCUCCUCUUCCAUACUUGGCAUCCUCUACGCCAUUGGUUUCCACCGUGGCCUCUGCAAUGUUAUCUUUAAAAUUAAUCCAUAACUUUAUGAAAAUGUUAUAUAAAUUCAAAAUCUGUAUGUAAAAAAGUUUAAUAAUGAGUAUGUAUAUUUUAUACAUUUUACAUGAGUAUUUUUUUAAUAUUUGUGAACAUUCAAUUCAGGUUAGCUUAUUUGCCUCUAAACUAAGUAAACUGAACAACUUGGUUAGCUCUGUAAUCAUUAUCAGGAACAAGGACAAAGAAUAUUAAACUCUAAAUAGGUGACUACCAUGAAUUAAAACUUUUUGAAUAACUUAAAAAAUUUAUUAUAACAUAGAACUCACCGUUGUCCGUCUUGGAGGAGGUCUCCGCAAGGUCUCUUGCGGCCACCUCAGACGAUAGGAGAAGAACAAAGGCGAGAAGAAGGCCGAGAAAAACAAAGGCUUUGGAACUCAUAUUUGUGUGUAUAGUAAGAGAUUGAUUUUGGGAGAGAGGGAUGAGAAAGAUUUGCAUUCUUAUAGAGGUAUUUAUAGGCGUACAAAAGAGAAAGAGAGAUGAGAAUUGAGACAAUUGCAAUUAAAGACUGGCCCAUAAUUUGGUUGGGUGUUAGAUGAACUGAUUGAGAAGUAUUUUGAAAUGAAGAAGAAAAUUUGAGUCAGCUCUCUUCAAAAAUCUUUAUCUUUUAAAUGAUUUGUAAUCAGUCAAACUCUUUAGUAGUGUGACUGUAUCAAACUCCAAGAGCUUCUUCUAUCCAAUUAUCAAUAAUAAUAAUAUAAUUAUGGAAAAACAAUUUGUAGCAUGCUUUCAAUUUCUAUUCCCAAACUUGACAAACAAAAUUGUUUGUCUUAAAAGUUAAAAUUAAUCUUUUACAUAAAUUAUUUAGCAGAAUCUAUUAAGUAGAUACUGUAGGUUAGUUAUUUAGGAUUCAUUUUUUCCCUCAGGUAUUGUAAAAGAAAUUGAUGUUUAGAUUUUUUUUUAUUAAUGAUUGAUAUUUUGAUAAAAGGAUGUUAAUAUCAUUUUUAAAGCUUGCUUUUAAAUAUAAUAAAAUUAAAUUUCAAAAUUAAUUUAUCAAUUAAAUUUAUAGAAAUAUUUAUAUAAUAUAAUCAGUAUGGACCAAUAUUUAUACUAUUCAUACUUUAAAAUUUUAUAAUAUUUAUAAAUAUUAAAAAAAUUUCAAAUGAUUUUUCUUAUAUAAAAUUUAAAUAGACAAGAAAAAAAAAAACACAGCACAUGCACAUGCACUAAGAAAUGUCAUUGAAUAGCUUCCCCUGAACCCAAGUUGUAAAUAUCAUUCAUAUUUAUAAUAUUUAUCAACUUAUAUGAAAACGUCAAAACAACACUUAUUUAUUUUAUACUAUAUUUGCAAUAAAUUUAAGAGACCUUUAUAAAACCUAACUCGCAGAGCAUGCACGAUACUGGGUAGUGAUAGUGAUAGUGAUGCACCCAAACUAAAUUGACUGUUUUGGUUGUUACCGUGUUCGAUGUAAAUAUAGUUGAAUUGAAAGAAGACAUCAACGACCUCUCUAAAAAUUAAAUAUUAAUGUAAUUUUUUUCAUUUUUAUGUUCAAUUGAGAAGGAAAAAAAGAAACAGAAACAAAAGUAUUAGAUAAUACAGAAAUAAAAGUAUUAGAUAAUACAUAAAUAAAAGUAUUAGAUAAUACGUAAUAUUUUGAAGAUGAUAAACAAUUGAGGUGUUUUGGAAAGUAAAAACCCUCUUUUUAGAAAAAUAUAGGACUGGAUGAGUAGAUGCACUUUAAAGUAUAAACUGUGUGGCAUGAAUAAAUAAAAUUUAUAUGAUUCUCAGAUAGUAUUAGAAUUUUAUUGUUUUGAAGGAUAGCCGACAUAAAUUUCAUGAAAAUUCUGGCAAUAUCUCCAAAUCCUAUCAUCCACACACACAGUCUCUCUUCCUUUCAAUUCAAUGAAUGGAGGAUUAAAUUUUACAAAUGGAUGGAAAAGAUUUCUUCUCUCUUUAAAGGAAAUGACAAAUUGAAAAAAGCACCAAAUUGUAGUGAUGGAAUACUAUUGGCCGUAAAAAUUAAACACCUUACAUUCAACCACCAAACUUAGGUGACGGUAGAAAUGGUAACAUUUAUUUGAGUGGGAGGAUUCAAUUUUUUAUCAUUUCAACGUUCCACUUUUACGGCUAUUGUAAGUUAAUUAGAACACCGUCGUAUAAGUUUGAAGGCUCAAUUUUUAUAAUUGAAAGUUUGAUAAUGUAAUUGCAACUACCAUUCUAUUUUAAAUGUGGUUUUUGUAAUCUUUACAUAACUUGUAAUGUAUGUCAAUUGUAUACAUAAGAUAUUCAAAAUUCUUUACAAAAUACUCAACACACGCAAACUUAUGACCUCAUGUGUUAUGAAUCAACAAAUUAAGUAAAAGAAAAUUGUAAAGAUCGACACAUAAAUAAACAUGAUUAACACUAACAUUGUAUUAGCAGCAACAUCCACGAACAAAGGGAGAAUAAAUAUUGUUAGAGAGAAUAUGGCACCACUAGAUUAGAUAGAACAAUGUUUAUAGUACAAUAUGACAUUACUUGAUUUGAAAGUUUAUAUAUGCACUUCUCUAAACCCUAAAAUCAAAAUCAUGAAUGACUACGUAUGCACAAUUAUGAAAAACUAAAGAAUCUAUGGAGUUUUCGUGUAGUGCUACUUAACGAAUAUAAGGUAUUCGAACAUCAUGUGUAUCCUAGUUGAUCUCCAAACCAGCUACAUAAUAUUAAUUAUAUAUUCGAAUUUUUGAAUUUUUUAUAACAAAUAUACCUCAAUAAAUUGAUCACCACCUAUGAUUAAAGAUAGAAAAUCAUUUAAGAUAUGCACGUAAAGGUAGCUGAGUAAAGUGAUAAGAUUAUCACACAAGAGAACUAAUAGUUAGGAUAACAUAAUGCGAAAGGGUAUUGGCUCAUGAGCAGAUUGAAGAGUUGGGUUUUUCCAUGUCAUUUUCAUCUCUGAUUUGUGUCUGCAAAUGAGCAAUGAUAAGUGUGAAUCAGUUAAAUUGGUUAUUAAAUGCUGAGACUUUAUUGAGUUGAUCCAUUUUCAAACUUUCAAACUUGCAAAUUUAUUGUGCAAUUCAGAAAGUGGAUCCUUUCAAAUUUAUUGAGUGGGGUCUAAUUAUUCAUCUCUUAUUUACGUCAGAGCAAAGCCUUUCUUAGGGGAUGUGUAUAUCUAUUAUUUCAUUGCCAAGGAAUGGGGGUAACCACUUGUGGGAUCACUUUUCAAAAUUUUAUGAUUUUCUAGAAAAUAUAUUAUUUAAUUGCAUCUUAGUCUCUCUACAAACGUUUCUACAACUCAUCCACACUUUAAUGGCAGUUAAAGAAAAAUAUUGUUUUUUAAAAAGACUCAUUCUAUGUUAAACUGAGAUUAAAUAAUAGAGUGUGGUCGAUUGUUAAAAGAUUUGUGUGUAAUCUAAAAUGAUCGGAUUAGUACUUUUCCAUUAAAAGUUUAUAUAUCUAUCCUUUAAAGUGAUGGACUCUGCAUAAGGAUUGAUAUUUGAUUACAAAUUUUUUUACUUAUGUUUGGUUGGAAUCCUUUAUCUACGUUUUUUUAAAGUGUCUAAUAGAUAUUUUAAUUUUAAAAGAAUUUAACAACGUUUAUCUUUGUUUGAAAGUUUAUAAACUAUGAAUUACAUUUUUAUAUCAUUACAGUUGUGUUUAUUUGGGACAUUGAUAAAAAUGAAUAGAAACAAAAUUCAAAUGUUAAUUAGCACCAGAUAUAUAAUACAUUGAUUGACUUAUUAACUAGCAAAAAAAAAAAUUAAAAGUUUAAACACAUAUUACUUAAUAUUUUAAAGCUUACAAGAGUUGUUAUACACAAUUCUAAACAUUUUGUGUGUUUUUAGUUUUUUUUAAAGGUAAGCUUAUAAACAUCUUAUUUCAUCUCUAAAUUUUAAUUAAUUUUGUUAUUAAACUUUAAUUUCUACCUAUAAAUAGAUAGAUAGUUAGAGCAUGAUUAAGUAAAGUUGAAGUUGAUCUCCUUCUUCCCUAAAAAACUUCUUAUCCCUACGUUGAAGACAAAUUAACUUAAGAAGCAUAGUAUUCGUAGCAAACAUCACACGUAUGUAUCUAGUAUUUAUUAUUCUACAACCCGAGCACAAUCUCACUAAACUUUAAUUUAGAGCUUUGUUAGAAUAAUGACUAUAAACUUUGGUUUUUAUUCUAGCCUUUUGAAUAUCAUGGCCAUGCAACCUUGCUUAUUAUUGAAUAUACGAGUGAGGAUUUGAUAGUGCUCAAGGAGUGUCCACAAAUUAAAGUGGAGACUCCUAGAUGCAGUAUAACACAAUUAUUUUUUUUUAAAAAAAAAGAAAUUACUUUGUAGGUGACUUCUAUGUCAAUAUAGAAUUUAUCAUUGACAUCACGUAAAGAUUAGAUCUAAAUAAUUAAGUUGUUAGACUAAAUUUUCACCAUAAAUAGUACCAAAACAAUGAAGCUAUAAACAGAUGAGUGAUUUGAAAAGAAAUUUAUUUAAUUAAUUGAAGCAAAAAUGAAUUGGUUAGAGUAUUAAUUAGUUAAUAAGUUCUAAUAAAUAGAUAGGCAAAAGUAAGUUAGCAUAGUCAAAUCUGGUUGGCGGGGUAGGAAAAAGGUGUCAAUGUUCUUCCCAUUUGUACAAAGCCACCAAGGAUCAUCUGUCUCCAGUCAAUAUGAAUGCAUUUAAUACAAUACUCGAAUGAGAAAAUAUGUGCAUUUAUAGAUUAUUUUUUUAGUUCAUUUCUAAAACUUUCCAACUUUUUUUUUUAUUUUGGUUUCUAAACAUUUUAAAACGUUUGUUUUAAUGUCUAAAUGUUUAAAAAUAACAUAUAUUGUAAUUAGAAUUUUAUUAACUCUUUAACGAAAUGAAAAGAUAAUUUCUACGUAUGAAUGAUUAUAUUGUCAAAUAAGAUAAUUAUAGUAAAAAGUGAGUGAACUACGAAAGAAAUGAGAGAGAUUUGAGUUUAUAAAAGAAAAACAAAGAGAACAAAAUUAGUACUUAGGUUUAUUUGAUAAAUGUGUUAGUUAUGUUUCUAUGUUGACAUAAAAGAUCUAUAAAAUAAAUUAGUAAGAUUUUUCAAUUAUUUAUCUAUUUAAGUAAUAUAAUAAAUCUAGAUUAUGAUCAUCUAGAAGUUACAUCAACAUUCUUUUAAAGAAUUAAUAGAAUUCUAAAUUAAAACAAGAAUUGUGGUAAGCUUUUUAUUAAAGUUUGAAAAACUAUAACAGAACACAUUUUAAAAGUUUAUCACAAAAAUAAAACAAGAUACUUUAUUAUUAUUUUGAUUCAUAUAUAUAGAGUAGAACAUUAUACACAUAUAUACACAAAUGAACAACAAAAAAAAAUUAGAAUGAAAAUUAGAUUGUGGAUGUUGAUUUUUUGAACGCAGUGAUAUUCUAAAUCGCUCCACUUAGCUUAUGUAUGUUUGGUACUUAUUUUUCUAUUAAUAUAAAUGUUGUUUUUGAAAAAGAAACGUUACAGAAAACAAAAUAGGAUGUAAUUACAGAAAUAAAAGUUAAGGUAUAGAUAGAUAAUUUGUUUAAUAAAGGGAAAAGUUAGAGAAGAUAAAUCUUACAGAGUUGGGGGAAAAGUUGAUAAUAUAUAGAGAGAGAAAACUUGAGAAUGGAGAAUCAAUGUUAGAGAGAGAGAAAAAAAAAAGGUUUGAGAGAUAUUUUAAAGAGAGAAUAUUCAGCUAGAUAAAAAUAUCAAAAUAUUAAUUAAAGAGAUAAAAACAAAAUAAUCAUACACAAAUUUGAUAAAUAACAUCACAUAUAAUAAAAAACUGAGAGAUUAUGGCUCGAUUCGAUAACGUUUUUUGUUUCAUGUUUUUUUGUUUUCGAAUGUGUUUAAUAACUUUUAUUGUUUCUUAGAAAAAGAAAAAGAUUUUUUUAAUAAUUAUUUAUUGUUUUUCGUUUCUUUUGUUAUUUUCUCAAACAUUUUUUCUUAUUUUUAUAGUUUAAAUUAAUUACAUAAAAUAUAAAAUAUAUAGAAUUCAUUAAAAUAUAAAAAUUAGUUAUAAAAUAUUGACAUGAUCAAAUAUUUACGUAAGCCGAUGCAAAUUUAAUAGCUAUAGUAUAAUAGUUUUUAUUAAUUAUAUGUUGUUAAAUUUUAAUUUAAAAUAUUAUCUCUCAUUUAAUUCAUUUGUCCUAAAUGAUGUUGAUGUAAUAUGAAAGGUAGUGAUUUGUCCUAAAACUUUUAGAACUUAAAGAAAAUAGAGUAAAACAAAAUUGGGAGAAACUACUCUUCAUGAUUUUUUAAUUUUGUCUAAUUUUUAGAAACGCCUUCAUAAUUUAAAAACGAAAAACAAAAAGAGUUAUCAAUCAUAUUUAUUUUUUAAAAUAUGAGGCAAAAAUAAAAAAAUGCCCUUAUAUUCACUUCCAAAAGAAAAUUAGUAUUGCUUACAGAGAAAGAAGUAUUCUUAGUCAAUAUAUUCUUUUAUGAAAAAAAAUAUUUUUUCCUUUUAUAAAUUUAUUUUCACCUUAAGUACCUUAAACCUGAUUUGUCAUGUCUUUAAAUCUUCCUUUUAUCUCUAAAAAAAUCUCACUCUAAUAUAUUUUUUUUCUCUACAAAAUUAAGCCACUAUCCUAAAAACUUAUUAUAUAUUUUUUUAUAUCAUUGAUGAAGCGAAAAUGAUAAAAGUGGUAUUCGGAUACACCUAUUGACUCACCGUAUCUUAUUAAAAAAGAAAUAUGUAUACUUUUUUAAAUAGACUACUUUUGAAUAUAACAAGAUAAAAUAAAAUGUUUACCAAUAUAGUAAAAUAUAUUGUGACAUUUUAUUAUAUUUGUAAAUAUUUUUAAAAAAUUUCGUUCUAAAUAAUUUUCCUUUAAAAAAUAUUUUAUUGAAAUUAAAAAUUGAUUAGUGGACUUGGCACAUAUUAUCAAAAAUUUAAAAAUUUAAAACUAAAAAAUAAAUUAAACAAGUCUAUGGUUGAAAAAUCAUGUUUUAAUAAUUGAAAAGGCAGACAAAUGACAGAUACUAUUCUAGUAGCAAAUGAUGUGAUAGACUAUUGAAGAAACAAAAAAAACAAAGGUCUGGUGAUCAAGCUCGAUAUUGAAAAAGUUUUCGACAAAAUUAGUUGGAGGUUGAUUGAUUCUAUGUUUAUAAAAAAAAAUUAUCCAUUCGAACAGAGCAAAUGGAUUAAUUAGGCUUGCAUCUCUUGUGUCCAAUACUCUAUUAGGAAGAACUCCGAGGUAUGAUUAAUCCCAGUAGGGACUCAGACGAGGUGACCAUAUACCCCCUUCAUAUUUGUUUAGGCUUUUAUUAACCUACUUGGAGCAAAAAGAUGAAAUCAGAGGGGUCAAGGUCGAGAAUGAUUUCAAUUUAACUCACUUGUUAUUUGCCAAGGACAUCUUACUCUUUGUGGAAGAUAAUGAUGAUCUCCAUGGGCAAAAAUUUACGGCAUCAAAAGAAAAAGGUGUGGCCUAAGUAUAAAUAAAAGUCUUGGACACACAAACUUUGCAUUGCUCAGUAGAUGGCUUUGACGCUUCAUAUACGAACAACGAACUCUAUGAAAAAGGUAAGUUCAGCAGCUUAAAAGCCCCGUGGAGAUCUACACCAAAGAGGAUUGAUUGGUUCCUUGAAAACGUACAUUGGCAACUCAACAAUGUAGGAAAAAUCUCUUUCUGGAAUGGGCCUUGGAAUGAAAAAUUCCUUCUAUUCUUUACAGGCCUAGACAUUUUGUCCUCUCAAAUCUUCAAUCGGGUAGUGUGAAAAAGAGAUAUGUCCAACCUCAAUAUUUUCGACUAGAAUUUACACCUAAGAUCAUUGAGAAGCUUUGAACUCCAACAAUGAGCUAAUAUGAAAUCUUUCCUUCCUGCUCCUAACAUCGUUGGUGGUACUGAUACACCAACAUGGAAGCUGAAUUCUAAUGGUCAGUUCUCUAUUGCCUCCUUAAAAAAAGCUAUACAUAUUGUGGACCAAAGAGAUGAAUCCAACAUCAAUCCUAAUAUCUUCAAAAACCUUUGGAAGUCAAGUAUCCAAAAGAAAUGUCAAUUCUUCAUUUGGACUCUUUUGCACAAAUGUAUCAACACUGGAAAGCUCCAAAGAAGAUUCGCAAAUUGUAACCUUAAUCCAAAUUGGUGCAUUCUCUGUAAGAACCACUUAGAGGAUAUAGAACAUACAUCUUCAUCAAUUGUGCUGUCACUAAAGAUAUAUAUGGGGGCAAGCUGAUUGAACAAACGAUCAAUUGGAGUAACCACAAUACAAACCUGAUUUCUUUAUGUGAGGAUUUCUUUAUGUAACUCAAAUUGAAAAGUUAGAGAUUUAUUAAACACAUUCUAAAGUGUUGUUGGUUUUAUUUCUUAGGUAUGAUUGGCUAAUUUUAUUAUUGGAAAAACUUGAUUGAACAGCUUGUUCCAUGUUAGUUUGUUGAUUUUAUCUUGAGAUUGGUUUGUUUAGAUGUUGGUAUAUGUAGUGCACAUUUGUUGGGUGACUUCCUACCAUCGUCAUGUCUUGCAAAAUGUUGGAAUAUUGGAAAUCACAUUGUAAGGUAAAAGGCAACAAAGGUUGCAAAAAAAAAUUAUUCUUAUCCGUCGGUGAGAUUCUACAAUAUUUGUGGCCUACUAUGAUUGAUAUAUUCGUUCUUUGAAGAUCUGGGUCUUGUUCAUCUUUUGGGUUGACCACUUUGAACAAUAUUUGAGUCGUUUUGUCUUCUGUGUUUUUGAAAAUCAUAAGUCGUGUCAAUCCUUAAAAUUGCGGAAGUUUGUUCUUGAAGCACAAUUAGUAACUUGAGAAAAAAUUCUCGAAUUUAGGAGAGCCUAAAAUUCAUCAAAUGGUUGGAGUACUCUUCAUUUAAAUGUGGAAAGAUGGAAAGUUAGCAAUUUACACUGGUAAUCAUCAAGUCUUUACAAAUAAGUAAAACAUUAUAUCAGUAAAAAUAGUAUAUAUAACAUUAUAUUAGUAAAAAUACCACUCUGCAUAUGUGCUAGUAUUGCUACCAAAACUCUAUGUUAUGUUCUGGUAUUGUAUGCAACAGUUUUGUUAGGUUGUGUGUACUAAAUCACCUUUAUUUCAUUAUAUUAUAAAGGGUAUAAGUACAAACUUGUUGAUGGGUUAACUAAAAAUUUGAGCUUUAAAAAAUCACAAAGAAUAGGAUGGUAAUUAACAAGACACUAAAUUUACCAAAUAAAUUAGUUAUCCUAAACUAGCAAGCUUGAAAUUAAUAGGAAAUUAGGAACAAGUAUAUGCCAGAAGAACAACCAUGAUCAUAUAUAAUAUCGUAGAUCAAAGCUAUGAAAAAAAAAACAGUACUAUAUAACACACCAAAUUCAAACGAUGAGAUACCCAAAUCCAACAAAAUAGAUUCCAACCUAAGCAAAUCAACCUCAUAAGAAACCUAACAAGUAAUUCAAAAUCUUUUUUUAAAGUUCAAAAUUACCACCUGAUUUUAAUUUGAAAGAAAUCAAAAUUGUCUAAGUUAAUAUAAAUUGAUUCAGAUGAAGACACAAACCAAGUUCGCUUUUAUGUGGCCUCAUGCAUAAUUCUAUGACAAAAAAGCAGACCCUUUUUCCUCAUAUUUGGUGAUAUAUUUCUCACAUACGUCCUUUCGGUGACUUUAUCGACACCCAAUGGCCAGCAGCAGGAAAGUGAGUCAAACAUGUAAAAGAGCCAGAGUGCAACAUUUUGUGCAUAAUUGCACACAUAAAUAUUGAUCACAGCAACAAAUGGAAAAACUUUGUGCACUAAACGCUAGAAUUUUCUUUCAAUCCUCGAAGCAUGAGCCCUCAAUCAAAUAGAGAGAAAAAAAAAAAAACUCCAUAUCCAAAUCCAAUAGGAACUACUAAUAUCUUCCUAUCUCCACACUCAUGAUCAAGCCCUUUUCAAUUCCAACCAGAAAAAACAAAGAAUUAAAAAAAAAAAAAAGGUUGAAUUCUUGAUUCAAGAAAAGGCUUUGGUGGCUUCUCUUUGAACAGCUUUCAUCAAGAACCCAUCUUUUUCCAAAGCCAUUUGAAUAGGCAAGAAUCCCAUUCCCUCAGCAAUAGCCAACAUCAUAUUCUUCAUCCCCAUCAUGAACUCAUCCACGUCAACUUUUCCAUCCGAAUCCCGAUCGAACUGCUUGAAGACGGCACUGUAGAGUUGAGAGAGCUCAUCGGCAUCAGGUUUCACAUCGGUUCCAAAGUCAGCUUCGGAGACUCUCAAAGCAUGCAACUCCUUCAGCAUCUCGGCGUAGGAGAGGAAGCCGUCGCGGUCAGUGUCAAGACGGGUGAAGUGCUCUCUAGUCCAACCAUUGAAAGCUUCUUCGUCUUCCACAAAGUUGACUAUGGUGGCGCCGUCAAGUAAUUCUACGCUCAUCUUCGAUUGUUGGUGAGAGAAGAGAUUGAGAUGAGAUUUCCUUGGUGGGUUUGGUAUAUAAAGGCCUCUCUCUAUAACUUAAUUGGCGGUGGUUUCCAAAACAAGGAUUUUCGUUGGUUCAUUAUUGAAUUAGGGUUUUCAAUUAUUUUCCUUUUUUAAUUGGGAAUUAGGAGUAAAUAGCCAUUUUCAAGGUUAAACUUGCAAAUAUGGAAAAAAGAAAAAACGUUUUUUGUUUCUUAGCAAAUUGAAUCUCCAUACAUGCAUGUGUCCAUCUUUCCUUUAUUCACAGAUUGCACUUAAUGAGUUAAAAAUUGCCCUUCAUCAUCAUGAUAAAUAGUAAGUAUAUCCUAGAUUUAAAUUCCUGAUUUUUCUUCGUAAUUAGAUUUAAAUUUCUAAUUUAAGUAGUAUAUCUGUCCUAGGGUAUCUUCUGUUGUUGGUUUGGGUUUUUAUACAUAAUUUGAAUGUGUGUGUGUAUAUAUAUACUCAUCUGUUAUAUAUAUAUUUUUAAGCUUGUUUUACAAAUUUGAUCUUCCAUAUAAUCUCUUUGUUGGUUAAAACAGAAACAUGUAUUAUAAUGGGGGAAAAGAUGGUACAAUAUCGUCGUGAUGGUUCCAAUUCAUGCUACUUGGUUCUUACCUCAAUUUUGCUUACGAGUUCUGGAUUCAACUUUGGGAAUGACUAUGAUGUAAAAGCUCUACGAAAUCGUUAGUUUUAUUAUAAUAAUUUGAUUACUUGUUUUUCUUCUUCUUCUUUUGGUAAUUGUUAAAUUCAGGGAGAAAGGUAAAUGGAAUCAAAUUUGUACUUUUUUUCCUUCUGCAUUGUUUACCUACGAUGUAUUUGUAUUUUAAUUUGGUCCUUUGUUAGAUUCAUGAAGAUGGUCAAGCAAAUCAAAUUUGUUCGGUAUUUAAUUAAAUUUAUUAGGUAUGAUGUAUUUUGUUGUGUUCUAUUUGAUUUAGUAAAUUUAUUUAGGUACAAUUUAUCUUCGGGUGAUGUGUUUGAUUUGAUUAAUUUUUUUUAUUAAAGGUAAAUUAAAUCUUUUUUUAUAUAAUUAUAGAAAAAAAAUGGCUUUUUAAAAAAAAAAUAUAUAAACUGGUGCACCAUAUAAAACAAUGUAUAAACCUAAAAUUAAUUACCUCAGUCAUUCCGCUGCACAUGCGAUACAUGAUAUUGGGCAUAUCGUGCCUCGAGAUGUACGAGAUGCUCCGAACCAUGUCUCGGACUAAAUAAUUCUACCUUUAGUUAUUGAAAUUGGAUAAUUAGAUCUCUGGUCUUAGCGUCACCAAGAUGGUUAGGAGUUAAAGAAAUUUGUUAGGCAUAAAAUUUAUCUUUAUUUUAUUCUAUCUCGAACAUACACCGCCUGAGAUUCCUAAAAAGAAAAACUUUUGACUUUAAUUAUAAAGAUUUAAAUUGCAAUAACAUAUAUGAAAUAUAUGAAACUUUUUAUUUUGUUAUACCAUCUAAAAACAGCUACAAACUCAGUCUUUCAAUCUAAGUCCAAAUUGGUGUUCUUUAUGUAAAAGACACUUUUCAUAGAUUGUUGUACUGCUAAAAUUCGAUGGAACAAGCUUGAAGGACUUCUUGGAUGGAAAAACCAACAACAAAAUGUUGUUUCCUUAUGCUCUUUCCUUUGCUCAAUAAAACUAUCAUCAUUUUUAAUACUAUUGCAUCAGUGUUGUGAAUCUUAUGGUUGGAGAGAAAUAAUCGCAUCAUCAAUUUAUCUUCUGGUGAGCUUAUGCUCUUUCCUUUUCUCAAUAAAAAAUCUACUUUUGAUCUUUGGGAAGACAUCAUUUCUCUUUCUCAUGGCUGUGGGCUAGCAAAUACCCUAUGUUUGCAAAUUAUAGUGCUUCCUCUAUCGCUAUCAAUUUAAAUGCUUUCUAACUUUUUGUUGUGGGCUUAGCUCUAGCUCUUUAGCUUUCGCGCUGUGUUUGGCUUUUGUCCCAUACUGUAAUUGUACUAAUUCUUCAUAUAUUAAUGAAAGCGGGGAUGAUGAGGGUGCAAAGUGGUGUCUCUUCUUCCUAUAUUAGUGAAAGCGGGGAUGUCCACCUAGUAGAGAUGUACUGACCCAAUGUAUCUUUUUCAAAAAAAAAAAAAAAAGCUACAAACAAACAAAAAUGUAACUCAAAAGGAAAAUCGUUAAAAACAAUAUAGGUCAAUCAACUCCCAAUUUUAUAUCGUUUUUCAAAAAAGAAUAAGAAAAGAAGAUUACAAUUUUAUAUCUAAUUAACACCUCCUCAUAAUCCACUCUGCCAAUGGUAAAAACUUAACAAGUAAAUGCUUUGCUUUGCAAAGAAAACACUUCUUCAAAACAUAUGUACCUCUCAGACAUGAAACAAAACUCAUGGACUGUAAUUCUAUUCACCACAACCUCACCAACUGAUUCCACAUAAAGCAAAAGAUUACUUUCUUUUUAGUAUAACCAUAUUAAUAUUUUAUCCUAAAUUUUCAAGACUAAUUUUCAUAUAUUUAAACCUGGUCAUAAUCAGUUCUUCCUUUACUUGGUUAAUAUAAAAAUCAUUCCAUACAAACUAUAUCUUAAACUAGUUGGUCAAAAUGCUAAAGAAAAAAAAACUACUAUUAAAAAAUAGAUGUCAAUACAAAAUUUAGAAAUAUAUAUCUAUAUCAAUAGUGGUAAUAAUAGUUACCAUGAUCUUAAACUUUUGAAAAAUUGCAUCACAUCACACAAAAAUUUUAAAAAAAUAAAAUAAGUAGCCUAUAACACCUCUUUUGCAUAUUACAAAUAUAACAAGUAAGUAGAUAUAUCAAAGAACUAGGACAAAACUAUUUGAUAACUAUCCGUUUUAAAAUUUACAAUCAUCUCGUUUCAUUCUUUUUAUUUAAUGCAUCUAGAAAACCCAUAUUAAAAUAAUCUACAUCCAGGCCAUCUAAUUCCAUAAACCUAUUUUAACUCACCGUUUAUAAUAAUCACACUAUAUAUUGUAACAAAUUUUGCAACCCAAAUAGCGCUAAUUAAAGUGUGGGAGACCAUGAGGUUUGAUCUUUGAAAAUGUUAAAUAAUGUGUAAUUAUAAUAAUCACCUCCACCUCCUGAAUGAAUAUUAUUUAAAAUUCCUCCAUUACUACCAUAAACACUAUUUCAAAAGUCUUUCUAUAGUCUUUACUAUUUUAUAUUAAUAAUUUUAUUAUUAUUUUCUACCAUCUUUAUUAUUUACUUACAAAACUAAAAUAGUUUAUGAACCAAACACACAUAUCAUUAUAACUCAAACUAAUUUGGUUUCAAAUUAUUCUAAUUCAACUAUGAUAACCUAAUAUUAUAAUAACUCACUUGGAGUUCCAACAUCCUUAGGUGUAAAAAUACAAAUUAUCUAUAAUUUUCUUUUUUUGGAAAAAAUAUCUAUAUGUAUAUAGAUUUAGAUUCUAAUUAAUAUACAACUUUUGUAAGAUGAAAAUAAGAAAUCCAAUAAAAAUAGGAUUACAUCUCAUGUUUUUCAUAUGUGUUUAAUUAAGAUUAAGUAUAAACAUUAUUAUUAAAUAAUUUAUAGAUAUAUUUUAUCAUAAAAGGAUUUGGAAGGGUAUAAUUUUUAAUUUGAUAAUUUAUUAUUUUACCAUGUAUGAUCAUGUGAGCCCAUAUGGAAAUGAAUAUAUUAAAUCAUUUUUUUAUAAAGAUAAAAAUUUACUUUCAACUUUUGUUUAAAUAAAGUUAUCGUUUCUUUUUAGAAAAGAUACUAAUGUUUAAUAAAAUUCUAGUUUGAUAAAUAUAAAAAUUAAAGAAAAAGAAGAAGAUAAGAUUAAUCGAAAAAUAUAGAAAGUAAAAAUAAAGAGAAAAAAUAGAUUUUUUUUUUAUAAAUGUAACAUUAAAAAAAGAAAGAUGCGUGGUUAGUUGCUCGAUAAUUAAAUAAUGUAAUUUUCGAUAUUGUUUGUUACUGGAAUUGAAUGUAUUAUAUUGUUUACAUCAACCUUUCCCCAAAAAAAAAACCAUAAGAUUCUGCAUAACAUUUAUAUCCUGUCAAAUCAAUUUGCAUUAUUAGUUUUGAAAAGUCUACAUAGAUAAUUUUGUAUCUUUGUCUUUUCGUUUUCUUGAAUAUCCAAACUAUUAUGUGUAGUAAAAUGGUAUGAUAAAUUAAUUUUUUAUAAAAAAAAUCUAAAUCAAAAUUAAGAAAUUUGCUUUAUAUUUAUUCGUUUUGAAAAAGGUGGUGCAUCCGGAUAUCUCCACUAAGUAGACAUUUAAUAGCACCCUCAUCACUCCCACUUCGUUAAAGAUAUCUCAAGGGAGCAAGAGAGGGCUAGAGUUAAGCCCUUGAAUGUCGUCCCCCAUUUCACCAAAGCUUUUUUCAGACCCUUUGAGCAUUCUAUUGUUUCUUUCCAGACAAAGUCAAUAAAGUUGCAGCAAUGGUAUUGAAGGUGGAAAUUUGCUUUGUUUACCAAUCUUACAAAAUCAUGAUGCAUAUUUAUGAAUAUAUAUUUUUUCCUUGUAAAAGAUAUAGAAUUGAUAAAUGAAACAUUUGUGGUAAUAAAAAAAGAGCAAUACCCGAGGACGAACUCAUGUACACAAGAAUCUAUCAUGCAUAAUUACCCUUCAACCAGUACAUAUAACAAAAAAUAUAUUAAAAACAUCUUUAAAAAUAAGCAGAAAAUAAAAUUUAUAAUUGAAUACUGGAAAGAGUAACACAAGAAUACAUAUAGCUUAAAAUGCAUCCAAAUGAUUUUUUGAAAUAACGACCCACAACGCCACAAACAGACAUGCUAAAUUAAAUUAUGAAGACCAUUGACUUCAAUUUUCCACAUAAGUUCCUUUCCUUGGGGUCUACUUGAUUAAGAAAUAACCUUGUAUUAAACCCAACCAAUAAAAUAGUAUUAAAAACAUAUUUAUUAAAAUGUUAAAAUACCAUUUUAGUCCAUUCAAUUAAAGUUUUUGGCUCCAAUUUUUUUUAGUCAUGCAUGCUACCUUUAAUCAUUCAACUGAUUAUAUACUAAAUAGUCUAUGUAGGGUGCAAUCAAAAAUCAAAAAACAAAAAAUCAAACCAAAAACGUAUCGGAUCCGACCGAAUUUUUAUUAAAAAAGAUCAAUCAAAAUUGAACUAAAUCAAUUAGUUUAUAUAAAAUCGAUUGGUUUGGUUUUAAUUCUUAAUCGACCAUGCAUGCACUUGCACACACAAUAUAAUAUGUGAUAAUUAGUUUAUAUAACCCAACAAUACAAUUUGUAAUGGACGAAGAUACACAUAAAUUAAGAUAAACUGAUCAUAGACAUAGUUAUAUAUAAACUGGGUUUAAAAAUUGAAAUAGAUAGUACUCUAUCGUGAUUCAUCGUAAAUAAAAUGUGAUGAUUUAUAAUUAUACAUAAUAUGUACAUAAUAUGUGUAUCUUUUAUUUCUUUAUUUAUUCACAAAAAUACAAAGAUUGUUUAUGGUAACAUGUUUCGAUUUGUUUGAGAAUUAACUUUAAAAAAUGGAACUAUAUUACAUUUGUUAUUUUUAGCUUUUUAUUAAAAAUACAAAAAUGAAAAACAAGAAAUAAACAAAGUAGUAGUCCAAAUGUUUGGUAAUAUAUAUAUAUGGAAAGUCCAAAUUGAUUCUGAGUACAUAGAGAUAAUCAUACAAUAAAACAUACUAAACUUCAAAGUGACAUAUCAUAUAAACUACUAUAUAUAUUGAUUACACUCUUUUUUUGAAAGGAUAAAUUAAUACACAAAAACUUUAAAAUAGGAUUUAAAUCCAUGUGAUUUCGGAAUCAUUUAUUCAUUUUUUGAAAAACAGGUGAUAGUCCUCAGUCUACGGCAAGCUGCAUCCUCUAACAUAAGGAUUGCACUUUUCCUUUGGUGGCUUACUUCUAGGGAUGCAACGGCUAUAAGGACCGCUACCAUCGCAGAUUGGUUUGUUGCGAAUUGCUGUUCUCGGAGUCAAGUAAACAAUUCCCUUUUCUGCGUUUGGAAACCAUUUAAAAUAAAUCAACAAAAAUAGUUUAUUUUUAAAAACAACCAUUUUCAAUUUAAUGCUUCCUUCCAUGUUCAAUUUUAUCAAAAUUUGUUUCAUAAUAACAAUCAUUUUGAAUGCCACAUAAUAUCAUAAUAUAAAUAGAAGCUCACCGUUGUUUUGGUGCAUCUUCAGCUUCCUUGCUGCAGUCACCUCCGAGGAGAUGAAGAGAACGAAGAAGAAGAAAAAAGCCAGCAAUGAAUAACCACGUCCCUUUCCACUACUCAUUCUUAUUCCUUUCUCACUAUUAUGGAGAGAGAAUUGAAUUUGUUUUGAAGAUGAA